rnacentral:snoRNA from 1 species
UGAUGACUGUAUCCAUGCACCACUCUGCAGUCAUUGUGGAGGUGACUCCCAACGAUCUGAUG